rnacentral:rRNA from 1 species
UACAGAGGCCCCAAGCGUUACUGAGAAUCACUGGGUUUAAAGGGUGCGUAGGUGGUCCGUUAAGUUCGUUGUGAAAGCCCUGGGCUCAACCCAGGAACUGCUUCGAAUACUGGCGGACUUGAGGCGAGUAUGGGUCACUGGAACUGACGGUGGAGCGGUGAAAUGCGUAGAUAUCGUCAGGAACGCCAAUGGUGAAGACAGGUGACUGGGCUCGAUCUGACACUGAGGCGCGAAAGCGUGGGGAGCAAACAGG